rnacentral:misc_RNA from 1 species
GAUAAGAACGCAGCGAAAUGCGAUAAGUAGUGUGAAUUGCAGAAUUCCGUGAAUCAUCGAAUCUUUGAACGCACAUUGCGCCUUCUGGUAUUCCGGAAGGCAUGCCUGUUCGAGAGUCAUUAACAACCGUUUCGAUCCCUUUCUUUCAGAAAUUACAAAGAGGAAAAGGGUUUGGUUAUGGUGGAGGAGGGAAAGGGAGCGUUUAGCCUGUAAAAAAAGAGGCUGUGUUCCGCCUCCCCCCCAAAAUUGUACAGGCGGUCGUGUGCGCCCACGCAUCGAGGUGUUGUAAAAGCUGCCACGGCACUUUUCACCUGUGCAGUGCGAGAUUGGCCAGCCGGUUUAAAAACCCCUCCAAACAAUCAAACGUUGACCUCGGAUCAGGUAGGGAUACCCGCUGAACUUAAGCAUAUCAAUAAGCGGAGGA